GGGAGGUACUGGUACAGAGUCAAUGUGGAGGCUAUAUACAGGGAGGUACUGGUACAGAGUCAAUGUGGAGGCUAUAUACAGGGAGGUACUGGUACAGAGUCAAUGUGGAGGCUAUAUGCAGGGAGGUACUGGUACAGAGUCAAUGUGGAGGCUAUAUGCAGGGAGGUACUGGUACAGAGUCAAUGUGAAGGCUAUAUACAGGGAGGUACUGGUACAGAGUCAAUGUGGAGGCUAUAUGCAGGGAGGUACUGGUACAGAGUCAAUGUGGAGGCUAUAUACAGGGAGGUACCGGUACAGAGUCAAUGUGGAGGCUAUAUACAGGGAGGUACCGGUACAGAGUCAGUGUGGAGGCUAUAUACAGG
ensembl:lncRNA